rnacentral:rRNA from 1 species
GAUGAACGCUAGCUACGGGCUUAACACAUGCAAGUCGAACGGGGUAAUUUCUUCGGAGAUUACUUAGUGGCGAACGGGUGAGUAACGCGUGAGAAACCUGCCUUUCAGUGGGGGACAACAGUUGGAAACGACUGCUAAUACCGCAUAAUGUCAUUUGGGGGCAUCCCUGAAUGACCAAAGAUUUAUUGCUGAAAGAUGGUCUCGCGUCUGAUUAGCUAGUUGGUGAGGUAACGGCUCACCAAGGCGACGAUCAGUAGCCGGUGUGAGAGGAUGAACGGCCACAUUGGGACUGAGAUACGGCCCAGACUCCGUCGGGAGGGAGUCGUGGGGAAUAUUGGGCAAUGGGGGAAGCCCUGACCCAGCAACGCCGCGUGAAGGAAGAAGGCCUUCUGGUUGUAAACUUCUUUUACCAGGGACGAACAAAUGACGGUACCUGGAGAAAAAGCAACGGCUAACUACGUGCCAGCAGCCGCAGUAACAC